CCAUUGCUACAGUACCAUCGCCCUUGGGAGAUCUGAUCACCGCUACAGUGUCGUCGCCCUUCGCCCGUGACAGAAAGUCGAUGCUGCAGGAGUCAGAUCGCCCUAGGGAGAUCUGGUCGCCGCUAUAGUGUCGUCGCUGCUACAGUACCGUCGCCCUAAAAUCUGGUCGCUGCUACAGUGUCGCCGUCGCCGCUACAGUACCAUACCAGUUAUGUUGGCUGC
rnacentral:lncRNA from 1 species